UUAAGCGACUAAGCGUACACGGUGGAUGCCCUGGCAGUCAGAGGCGAUGAAGGACGUGCUAAUCUGCGAUAAGCGUCGGUAAGGUGAUAUGAACCGUUAUAACCGGCGAUUUCCGAAUGGAGAAACCCAGUGUGUUUCGACACACUAUCAUUAACUGAAUCCAUAGGUUAAUGAGGCGAACCGGGGGAACUGAAACAUCUAAGUACCCCGAGGAAAAGAAAUCAACCGAGAUUCCCCCAGUAGCGGCGAGCGAACGGGGAGGAGCCCAGAGCCUGAAUCAGUGUGUGUGUUAGUGGAAGCGUCUGGAAAGGCGCGCGAUACAGGGUGACAGCCCCGUACACAAAAAUGCACAUGCUGUGAGCUCGAUGAGUAGGGCGGGACACGUGGUAUCUUGUCUGAAUAUGGGGGGACCAUCCUCCAAGGCUAAAUACUCCUGACUGACCGAUAGUGAACCAGUACCGUGAGGGAAAGGCGAAAAGAACCCCGGCGAGGGGAGUGAAAAAGAACCUGAAACCGUGUACGUACAAGCAGUGGGAGCACAGAGCAAUCUGUGUGACUGCGUACCUUUUGUAUAAUGGGUCAGCGACUUAUAUUCUGUAGCAAGGUUAACCGAAUAGGGGAGCCGAAGGGAAACCGAGUCUUAACCGGGCGUUAAGUUGCAGGGUAUAGACCCGAAACCCGGUGAUCUAGCCAUGGGCAGGUUGAAGGUUGGGUAACACUAACUGGAGGACCGAACCGACUAAUGUUGAAAAAUUAGCGGAUGACUUGUGGCUGGGGUGAAAGGCCAAUCAAACCGGGAGAUAGCUGGUUCUCCCCGAAAGCUAUUUAGGUAGCGCCUCGUGAAUUCAUCUCCGGGGGUAGAGCACUGUUUCGGCAAGGGGGUCAUCCCGACUUACCAACCCGAUGCAAACUGCGAAUACCGGAGAAUGUUAUCACGGGAGACACACGGCGGGUGCUAACGUCCGUCGUGAAGAGGGAAACAACCCAGACCGCCAGCUAAGGUCCCAAAGUCAUGGUUAAGUGGGAAACGGUGUGGGAAGGCCCAGACAGCCAGGAUGUUGGCUUAGAAGCAGCCAUCAUUUAAAGAAAGCGUAAUAGCUCACUGGUCGAGUCGGCCUGCGCGGAAGAUGUAACGGGGCUAAACCAUGCACCGAAGCUGCGGCAGCGACACUGUGUGUUGUUGGGUAGGGGAGCCGU
rnacentral:rRNA from 1 species